UCGGGUUCCGAAGUGAUUGGCUC
rnacentral:siRNA from 1 species